CAGGAGAUUUUGUCAUUUGGGUUUAACCAAAAGAUUCUAAUUUUAAUUGAAAGUCUUUCUCUCCAUGCUAAGCAGUCCCCUGCAGCGCUCCUGAGCUCUGGAUGGUCUCGUCUGGAUGGGAAGGAAGGUUUGCCCGUAACUCAAGCUAAAACCUCAUGGAGACAAGGGCUGCUGUCAGAGGGAGGCUCUAACCCACCAGGCUGCAGAAAGGACCCACAGGCCAGUGACCAGGUGCUCGGCUCAGCGCGAAGGCAGGACAAUGGCGAGGGACAAUAUCUAUGAGAACAUGCGAUGACGGAAGCUGCUCCCCGGCCCAAAUGAAACCCUCCCGAGACGUCGGUCCCU